rnacentral:tRNA from 1 species
GGAUUGUAGCUCAGUGGUAGAGCACUUGCCUAGCAUGGGUGAGGCACUGGGAUGGAUCCUCAGCACCA